UCUGGUCAAGUCCCACCACCGAACGCGUGCUCUCUCUAUCCUUAUCCCUUCUAAUCUCUCUCUAAAUCAUCAGGGACACGGGAGAUCGACGUGGAGUAGGCGCAUCGCCGGAAGCUCUGCCAGGCCGGCGCCGACGAGCGUGUCAUGGGAGGUUCCGCCAGGAUGCGUCCGACGAGCGCGAAGAGGCGUCUCGCGUUGCAGGAGGCUCCGCUAGGCCGCCGCCGCCGACGAGCACGGCGAGGCCCGUCGGCGGAGGCUCCGCCGGGACGUCUACGUUGAGCACGAUGAGGCGCGUCACGGGGAGGAUGGCGCCAGGCCGCCGUCGAAUAUGCCACCUUGCCGCCAACGACCAUGAGCCGUGAGGAGGAGGCGGGUCGCUGGGAGGACUCCGACAGGAGGCCAUCGACUCCUCCACACCUGCCGCACCACACCUUCCGCAGACGAGCUCAUGAGGAGGAGCGGAGUAGGCUCCCGUGCUUUGCUGGUGCGGAGCAAAAAAGAAUUGGGAUUCUUCCAUGGUGAGAUCUCUACUCUGGCCGCUGGCGGUGGAUUCCGGUUCCUACAUCCCCAAAUUAGCACAGGGAGACUCUUAUAUGUGUUUAACGGCAGUGGCUCGCUCGACCUCUCCUAAUCUUUUUCUCCCAAUUGAUCCUCUCGUGCGCCAGCUUUGUCUAAAGCACCAACAGAAAUGGGAACGCCACAGAUGCACAACCAAAGGUACUACUCCCUCGCUGGUGUAGCUGCAAUGAACAUGUUUGAUAGAAUGCCUCACAGGUGCUAACUCCCAUUUUUUUUGGUUGCUCUUUUCCUCUAUUCUUGUUGUAGUUAAACUACUUAUCUUAGGCUGAAUUGUCACACGAGUGUAGCUGCAGCUAGCAAGAUUAAUGGUAUGCUUGCUGCAAAAAGAGUGGAAUUAAUAUCACCGGGGAAAUAGUGUGUUUAUGCGAGCGGCAGCAGCGUACCCAUGUUGUACCUAUGUGAUGUCUCUAUCUCUCUCUCUUUUCUUUUAUUUCUUUUAAGUCAUGUGUUAAGCAUCAUUUACUUGUUGUGGAUUAGAAUUUUGUGAUGGAUAUGCGAGGGCUUUGAUUUUUGUGUGAUAGGUAUAUGUACAAUUUAAUGUUGUUCUCAAGAACAGUGAUUUAUAGUUAUGUCCGAGAAUUUGACAACGUAAUGACAGCUAAUGUUUCAUAAUUAUAUCAUACUAUGCUCGAGCUUGUGCUUCGAUACAUUAGCUUUUUCUAAUGCUGGCCAUUUCAUUGAUAUUUUGUUGAACCAUUUGUGUGUGCAUUCUGUAGCUUCACUACCUUCCUGCUAUGGUUCUUCAUACAGAGUGUUGAUGCAUUUGUUGAUACUCUAUUGCAGGACAAGUUCAGGCAGAAAGAAUGUUUCUCGAAGUUUGGAAUUCCGUUUACCUAACUUUGUUCAGGAUUUCUUUACACUUUUGGAUUGUGAUGCCUCCAAUUACUUAUGUCGCCGCUGCGUCUGCCGCCUUCGAGCUGGGGGACCGUGGCCUUGCUGUCGCCGCACUUGCCUGCCAUUCAUGCCGUGUCUGAGCGAGGUCCCUCCAAACCUGGUUAUUUGUUUGUACUUUAUUGGGGGCAUAUAUGGUACAGAUCUUUUCGUUCAUACUUUCACAAAUGUUCUCUCCAUCUUAAUAUAUAACCAUUUCUACGUUACACUGACUGCAAUUUUAAAAUAGUUAGGCCGUUCGGUUCCAUACAUGUUUGCACUAACUGCCGGCCUACUGUACAAUGGUAUGAAAUUAUAGCUAUGAAAAUAAGAAGUUUGUUAAUCAAUAGAUUAAUAUUAACAGUACAUACAGAAUUACCCAGGGUCCCUCGCAUAAUUCUCCCAGCCUCCCUUUACGUGCAAACCCAUCUUUCAAGACACGUGACUUAGAACGUUGCUUAGUUCUCAUGACUUUCCAUAUUAUUAUAGCAUCGCCGGGAAGGCCUUCUAGCAUUGUUUGGGUCUCCUAGCGAACAGUUAUAUUUUGUUUCAUAAGGCCUCCUAGCAAACAGAGGCUAAAAACUUUGAGAUACAAGUCUUAAGUUUCAUAAAAAAACCAGGCAUGCAUUUUCUUGGCAUCACCCUUCUGUUAUGUCAUAAAGUCCUUAUUCUUCUUUCUAUUAUUCUUCCAUUGAAUUCCUUUGUGAGCAUGGCUUUUACGCUCGGAAUUGUCUAUUUUGCAAUUUGCAAAUAGUGACAUUAGUAUUUCAUUCUAUAUGGUAUAUGAUCAUAUAGUCUGCUAUCUGGUUAUGCUCCUCUACGCUUAUUUAUACAAGUACUUAGAUUAUGCACCUCUGUAGGAACAUAUCUCACUCUCACUUUUCUAGGCCAUUUUGAUGAUCUCACAAAGGGAGAUGUAAAAAGCCAUUUAAUGUCACUAUAUUUAGACCCUUGCUGAUUAUACAUAUAUGUAUUGCGUAUUUGUUAUGCUCCUCUAUGCUUAUUUAUACAAGUACUUAGAUCAUGCACCUCUGUAGGAACAUAUCUCACUCUCACUUUUCUAGGCCAUUUUGAUGAUCUCACAAAGGGAGAUGUAAAAAGUCAUUUAAUGGCACUAUAUUUAGACCCUUGCUGAUUAUACAUAUAUGUAUUGCGUAUUUGCUCUCCAUAGUAGCAGAGGAGUUUAAUGUUCUGGUGUGACAAGUAAUAGAUGAAACCUUGGCUUAAUAAUUAUCUCUCUAACAUUUAGGAGCAUAAAGACACUGUGCUGAAGUAAGUGUUCUUGAUUAUAUAGCAAUGGUUUUGCAGGUUGUAUAAUUGUGGUGUCAUUAUCUGUGGGUCUUUUGAGGUAACUCCACCAUUCAUUUAAAUACACUGGGUUUCUCCCUGAAUUUUUUCCGAGAGUUUUUGCCAGAUUGGCCUAGCUUAACAGUGAAGAUUCAAACAAGUGAGUUAAAACUCACAGUUAUGUAACUCUGUGUUAUUAUUUAUUUCACUUUAAAGUUCAUUUUUUUUUA